ensembl:lncRNA
AGUGUUCCGUGUUCAGUGUUCAGUGUGUUCCGUGUGUCCCGUGUUCCGUGUUCCGUGUUCAGUGUCCAGUGUUCAGUGUUCAGUGUUCCGUGUUUAGUGUUCCGUGUUCUGUGUUCAUUGUUCACAGUGUCCAGUGUUCAGUGUUCAGGAUUUUACUGAAGGUUUCGUGGCUCGACAGUCUGGCUUCACUCAGGCGGCUUUCAUGUUCAAACAGGAGACGCCAUGAGAGUGAGAUGUUCAGGUGUGUUAAACACGCUACCAUGACAGAGAUGUUCAGGUGUGUUAAACACGCUACCAUGACAGAGAUGUUCAGGUGUGUUUGACACGCCAACAUAAGCCACCGUGAGAGAGAUGUUCAGGUGUGUUUCAUAAGCCACCAUGACAGAGAUGUUCAGGUGUGGUAAACACGCCACCGUGAGAGAGAUGUUCAGGUGUGUUUCAUAAGCCACCAUGACAGAGAUGUUCAGGUGUGGUAAACACGCCACCGUGAGAGAGAUGUUCAGGUGUGUUCGACACAAACAUAAGCCAACAUGAGAGAGGUGUUCAGGUGUGUUUCAUAAGCCACCAUGAGAGAGGUGUUCAGGUGUGUUAAACACGCCACCAUGAGAGAGGUGUUCAGGUGUGUUUCAUAAGCCACCGUGAGAGAGGUGUUCAGGUGUGUUUCAUAAGCCACCAUGACAGAGGUGUUCAGGUGUGUUAAACACGCUACCAUGAGAGAGAUGUUCAGGUGCCUUUGGUACACAAACGAAAGACGCUGUGAGAACCAUACUGCUCCAGUCCCAGCGGAUGUGGCCUAAAUGAUGUUUUUAUGGUUUCGGCUGAUUUUAGCACAGCCUGACCUCAUGUGUUUGUGUCUAAUAUGGCCGUCGUUUGCACAGCGUUAGCCCAGAAUUAGCCUUCCUCUUUAAAUGCCAUGGUAGUUUCCAAAUCUCUUUUAUAAACACUUCUGUUGUAUGUUUACGUCAGUUGUCACGUCAGAUGGCAGUUGCUAUGUCAGAAUCA